GCAAUGGUGGUAUUGUGGUGAACAUAGCUGCUUGCCAUGCAGUUGAACCGGGUUCGAUUCCCGGCCAUUGCA